GCGGGAAUAGCUCAGUUGGCUAGAGCAUCAGCCUUCCAAGCUGAGGGUCGCGGGUUCGAAUCACGGUUCCCGCG
rnacentral:tRNA from 1 species